GGCUCCCUGGCGCAACGGUAGCGCGUUCGACUCCAGAUCGAAAGGUUAUCCGUUCAAAUCGGGUGGGGGUCA